rnacentral:rRNA from 1 species
CCCCUAAGGCGAGGCCGAAAGGCGUAGUCGAUGGGAAACGGGUUAAUAUUCCCGUACUUGGUGUUACUGCGAAGGGGGGACGGAGAAGGCUAUGUUGGCCGGGCGACGGUUGUCCCGGUUUAAGCGUGUAGGUGUGUGUUCCAGGUAAAUCCGGUUCACUUUAACACUGAGGCGUGACGACGAGGCACUACGGUGCUGAAGCAACAAAUGCCCUGCUUCCAGGAAAAGCCUCUAAGCAUCAGGUAACAUCAAAUCGUACCCCAAACCGACACAGGUGGUCAGGUAGAGAAUACCAAGGCGCUUGAGAGAACUCGGGUGAAGGAACUAGGCAAAAUGGUGCCGUAACUUCGGGAGAAGGCACGCUGACAUGUAGGUGAAGUGAUUUACUCACGGAGCUGAAGUCAGUCGAAGAUACCAGCUGGCUGCAACUGUUUAUUAAAAACACAGCACUGUGCAAACACGAAAGUGGACGUAUACGGUGUGACGCCUGCCCGGUGCCGGAAGGUUAAUUGAUGGGG